CGGGGAGUAGCUUAGCUUGGUAGAGCGCCUGGUUUGGGACCAGGAGGUCGCAGGUUCAAAUCCUGUCUUCCCGACCA
rnacentral:tRNA from 1 species